GUAGGUGAACCUGCGGAAGGAUCAUUACCGAGCGAGGGUCCCCGUGGCCCGAACCUCCAACCCAUGUCUACCCUACCUCUGUUGCUUCGGCGGGCCCGUGGGGCGACCCACCGCCGGCUCCGGCCGGCCCGUGCCCGUCAGAGGACCUAUGAACUCCAGUAACGGUGAUGUCUGAGCACAAAACAAAUAAUCAAAACUUUCAACAACGGAUCUCUUGGUUCUG
rnacentral:misc_RNA from 1 species